GACGAACGCUGGCGGCGUGCUUAACACAUGCAAGUCGAACGGAAAGGCCCUGCUUUUGUGGGGUGCUCGAGUGGCGAACGGGUGAGUAACACGUGAGUAACCUGCCCUUGACUUUGGGAUAACUUCAGGAAACUGGGGCUAAUACCGGAUAGGAGCUCCUGCUGCAUGGUGGGGGUUGGAAAGUUUCGGCGGUUGGGGAUGGACUCGCGGCUUAUCAGCUUGUUGGUGGGGUAGUGGCUUACCAAGGCUUUGACGGGUAGCCGGCCUGAGAGGGUGAACGGCCACAUUGGGACUGAGAUACGGCCCAGACUCCUACGGGAGGCAGCAGUGGGGAAUAUUGCACAAUGGGCGGAAGCCUGAUGCAGCAACGCCGCGUGCGGGAUGACGGCCUUCGGGUUGUAAACCGCUUUCGCCUGUGACGAAGCGCGAGUGACGGUAAUGGGUAAAGAAGCACCGGCUAACUACGUG
rnacentral:rRNA from 1 species